AGUGGGGAAUCUUGCGCAAUGGGCGGAAGCCUGACGCAGCAACGCCGCGUGUGGGAAGACGGCCUUCGGGUUGUAAACCACUUUCAGGGGGGACGAAGCUUCCGAGGUUAAUAGCCUACGGGGUGACGGUACCCCCAGAAGAAGCCCCGGCUAACUACGUGCCAGCAGCCGCGGUAAUACGUAGGGGGCGAGCGUUGUCCGGAAUCAUUGGGCGUAAAGCGCGUGUAGGCGGCUCGGUCAGUCUGGUGUGAAAACUUGGGGCUCAACCCCAAGCCUGCACUGGAUACUGCUGGGCUUGAGUCCGGGAGGGGAGAGCGGAAUUCCUAGUGUAGCGGUGAAAUGCGCAGAUAUUAGGAAGAACACCGGUGGCGAAGGCGGCUCUCUGGAACGGUACUGACGCUGAGACGCGAAAGCGUGGGGAGCGAA
rnacentral:rRNA from 1 species